GCACUAUUUUGCUGAUGUUGCAAGUCGCACGAUGAUCCCAGCUUGCUGGGGGAUUAGUGGCGAACGGCUGAGUAACACGUGAGUAACCUGCCCUUGACUCUGGGAUAAGCCUGGGAAACUGGGUCUAAUACCGUAUAUGACCGUCUGACGCAUGUCAGGUGGUGGAAAGCUUUUGUGGUUUUGGAUGGACUCGCGGCCUAUCAGCUUGUUGGUGGGGUAAUGGCCUACCAAGGCGACGACGGGUAGCCGGCCUGAGAGGGUGACCGGCCACACUGGGACUGAGACACGGCCCAGACUCCUACGGGAGGCAGCAGUGGGGAAUAUUGCACAAUGGGCGCAAGCCUGAUGCAGCGACGCCGCGUGAGGGAUGACGGCCUUCGGGUUGUAAACCUCUUUCAGUAGGGAAGAAGCGAAAGUGACGGUACCUGCAGAAGAAGCGCCGGCUAACUACGUGCCAGCAGCCGCGGUAAUACGUAGGGCGCAAGCGUUAUCCGGAAUUAUUGGGCGUAAAGAGCUCUUAUGCGGUUUGUCGCGUCUGCUGUGAGAGACCGGGGCUCAACUCCGGUUCUGCAGUGGGUGCGGGCGCCCCCCAAUGAUGUUUGGGAGAUUAUUGUUGCCGGUGUCCCCCCCGAGGG
rnacentral:rRNA from 1 species